ACAGAACGCUGGCGGCGUGCCUAAACCUUGCAAGUCCGAGCCAAGGUAGCCGUAAGCUUGCAUCCCGGGGUUAGCGGCGGACGGGUGAGUAACACGUGGGCAACCUACCUUAUAGUUUGGGAUAACUCCGGGAAACCGGGGCUAAUACCGAAUAAUCUGUUUCACCUCAUGGUGAAACACUGAAAGACGGUUUCGGCUGUCGCUAUAGGAUGGGCCCGCGGCGCAUUAGCUAGUUGGUGAGGUAACGGCUCACCAAGGCGACGAUGCGUAGCCGACCUGAGAGGGUGAUCGGCCACACUGGGACUGAGACACGGCCCAGACUCCUACGGGAGGCAGCAGUAUGGAAUCUUCCACAAUGGGCGAAAGCCUGAUGGAGCAACGCCGCGUGAGUGAAGAAGGAUUUCGGUUCGUAAAACUCUGUUGUAAGGGAAGAACAAGUACAGUAGUAACUGGCUGUACCUUGACGGUACCUUAUUAUAAAGCCACGGCUAACUACGUGCCAGCAACCGCGGUAAUACGUAGGUGGCAAGCGUUGUACAGAAUAUUGGCCCUAAAGCUUCGCGCAGGCCGUUUCUUAAGUCUGAUGUUAAAACCCACGGCCUCAACCGUGAAGGGCAUUGGAAAAUGGGAGACUUGGG
rnacentral:rRNA from 1 species